rnacentral:piRNA from 6 species
UGAGCAAACAUCUGUCGUGUAUGUGCCA